rnacentral:RNase_P_RNA from 1 species
GUUCGGGUUCGGGUGGUCGCUGUGCAGCCCUGCUGCAUAGAGGAAAGUCCGGACAUCACAAGGCAGCGCGUCCUCUGAAAGGAGGAGACGCCCGGAGCCAAUGCCGGGCGGACGGAAAGUGCCACAGAAAACAAACCGCCCGCAAGGGUAAGGGUGAAAAGGUGGGGUAAGAGCCCACCGCUCCGAAGGUAACGACGGAGGCACGGAAAACCCCACGCGAUGCAAGACAAACAGGGGAAGGGCCGCCUGCCCGCUGUAUCCCCGGGUAAUAGUUGCACCCUGCUAUAAACGCAGGGUACGGGUUCGCCCGUAAGAAAAAUGACCACACAGCCCGCAAGGGUGGACAGAAUCUGGCUUACAGAACCCGAACGGCG